rnacentral:snoRNA from 1 species
UGUUUAUGAUGAUAACUUUUCUCAGCUCACUCAGAUUAACUUUAUGAUUGACAAACUUUAUCCUUUAUAACAUUCAUCUUAUAACUGAUUCAACA